rnacentral:rRNA from 1 species
UACAGAGGUCUCAAGCGUUGUUCGGAUUCAUUGGGCGUAAAGGGUGCGUAGGCGGCGCGGUAAGUCGGGUGUGAAAUCUUGGAGCUUAACUCCGAAACUGCAUUCGAUACUGCCGUGCUUGAGGACUGGAGAGGAGACGUGGAAUUUACGGUGUAGCGGUGAAAUGCGUAGAUAUCGUAAGGAAGACCAGUGGCGAAGGCGGGUCU